AUAAGAAAAAACAUCAGAAGUUGAGGGAUGUUAUAGGUAAGCUGUCUGUAUACAUGUUCACAUUAUGAAUGUGUUUUUGCCAAAGUAUGUUUAUGUCUUAUCUAUUUCUACAACAAGGAUGAUAAACCCUCCAUAAGCCCAACCAUAGGCCUGUUCACCAUUUCUAAUGGAACUUAAUGCACACGGGAAAGAUUCAAGAGGUGUGAAUUGGCACAGAAAAAAGCCACCUCUGAAGAUAAUCACACUUACUGGCAAAUCAGCAUCUUUUUUCCUUUUGUUUUCUCUAUGCACUUUGCUCUGCUGGAGACAUGCAGCAGUACCCCUUAACCUGAAGACGGACCUUUGGGCCCAAAUGGCUUUUUAGAACUUAACCACUUCAGUCAUUGGUAAAAGCGUGAAUUAAGUUUGACAUGGCUGGCUUUCCUUUCUCUCUUAUUCCUUAGGAAUUACAUUGGGUUUGCUUGACUUCUUAUACAAAUUGCUUACAUCACAAGUUAGCCCUUCUCUCAUCCCAUCAGGGAUCCAGUGUGGUGAGUUCUCAGUAGAGCUGUACCCAGAAACCUGUAUGCCUUGAAGAUAAGAGAAGUUAGAUAGAAAUAGAUAGAUUCAGUUUAGUCUGAAUAGAAAGAUAACAUGAUAUCUGGGUUGGAAUGCAGUUAAUCAGGUCUUUUCGGAGAAAAUUUAAGGUGGGGGGGGUGUGAUACUUAGGUAACAUAAAUUUAGUGUACAAGGGUAAGCUUGAUGUGGUAAAAAAAUUAUAUGUUAUAAAAGUGAUUGUUCCCCCAAAGAUGUGUGAAAAGGAAAUUCAGGACCCCUUAUGAGAGGUAUGAUGUGUAAAGAAAAAAAGAAAAAAAACAACCAAACCCCACCUUAAGUUUUUACAGAAAACUAAUGGUGAUCACUGAGAAAAUACAGAGAACUGGCUAAUGCUUUUCAAGGCUUAUCUAGGUUUGCAGGAAAAGAGGUUUUCAUUGCAGGGAAAAACCCAGUUAGUUCAAUCACAUAACUGUCUCUCAAGGACUUUCUCCUGGACAGAAGGAGAUAUCCUAUGAAACCAUUAUAGAUUUCAAGGCAGAAAAGUCAGUUUCAAGUGGAAGAUCCUACCUGAGUUCUUUUAAAAGCAUGUCUAAAGCCUGAGCAUUGUAAAUUCUCAAAUUGUAACAAGUGCCCUGGCUGGAAUGGUAGAAGUUAUGUUUGCUAAUCAUAUAUUAUCUUCUUAAUGGGUAAAUACCCACUGAGAACUACAAGGGCAUUGUCAGGGUGUGCAGUGGUUUGGUUUAAAUGGCAGAAGCAAGCCUUCCUCAGUUAAGCAAGGAAGAAACAGAAAAAACAUGAACAGCAAGCAGAAACAGAAAAAAAUACUGGUCUGCUAUUUAACAGAAAAGACCAGUCAGUCACUAACAGCUCAGAAAAGGUAGAGGUUCUCAACAGUUUCUUCGCUUCUGUGCUUACCAGCACUGCUGGGCCCCAGGUGUAGGGAACAAAACCCCAGGCUGAUGCAAACACAGAUCUGCUGUCAGUGAAGGCAGAGUUGCUGUGUGAGCUGUUGCUGGAGCUUGACCCAUAUGACUCGAGGGGCCGUGAUGAUAUCCCCACAAGGGGUCAAGGCAGCUGGAUCAUGUCAUUGUGAGGCCACUAUCCGUAAUCUCUGGGAAGUCGUGUAGAUCAAGGAAUGUUGCAGGAGACUGGGAGAAGGCUCAUGUCAUCCCCACCUGCAAGAAGAGCUUAAAGGAGGAUCCAGGAAAAUAUGGAGACAUCCAUUUUACUUCAGCCCCUGGGAAGGUUAAGGAAUGAGUCCUUCUGGGAUCUAUCACAUGUCAGGUGAAGAACAUGACUGGGGGGAGCCAGCACGGAUUCCCCAAAGGCAAAUUGUUCUUAAAAAACCCGAUUGCCUUCUAUGACACAGUAACUUUAAUUGCUGUUGGGUGAGUGAUGGACACUGCUUGUCUGGAUUUCUCCAAGGCUCUCAGUGUGCUUCCCACAGCCUCCUUCUGCAGAAGCUGUUGUGUUAUGGCCUGGACAAGGGGUCCCUAUGGUGGGUGGGGACCUGGCUGACCCAGGGCAGUGGUCAAUCACUUCUCUCCAAACUGACAGCCUGGCACAAGGGGUGUUCCCAGGGAUUGAUACAGGGCCCAGCACUGUUUAAUUUUCAGAGUGAUUGAGAAGAUGGGAUCAAGUGUAGUGAUGCACUGGUGCAGUUUUCCAGUAAUAAUAUACUGCUUGAGGAAGCAGAUGCUUGUGAAGGGAUCUGCAGAAAGACCUGGAUUAGCUGGAACAGUGGGCUGAUGAGAACAUUGUGAAGCCCAGUGAGGACAAGUUUUGCACCUGGAAAAGCAAAACCUUAGUCCAGAAGUGCAGCACAGACAGGGAUCUCCCCAGCUUGGGAGCAGCUCUGUGGGAAGGAGCCUGGCGCUCCUGGUGGCCUCAGCUCCAUCUGAGUGCCCGGUGUGUUCCUGCAGCACAGAAAGGGAGCAGAUCCUGUGUGGCUCCAACAAGGGCCUCACCAGCAGAGAUGAAGUCCUUAUCCCACCCCACACAGUGCUUGUCAGGCCACACCUGCAAUUCUGUGUCCAGUUUUGACUCUUGGUGGAUGUGGAUAGGUUGGAGAGGCCCCACAAAGGCGAUCACAGGGCUGGGGAGCCUGGCACGUGAGGAAUGGCUGAGGGAACUGGGUUUGUUUAGCCUUGAGGGCCUUGAGGGAUCCUACAUUCCAGUGUUUAAACAGUGACUACAGAGAAGAUGGAGGUUUACAAGGAAUCACAUGGGAAGGAGGAGGGGGAAUGGGUAGAAGUUACUCCCGGAGACAUUCCAAUUGGACAAAACAGGAAAAAUUUUGUCAAUUAUAACAAUUGGCAGUUGGAAUAUCUCCUCAGAGAAGUGUGGAUUCUGCAACUUUGGAUGCUUUUAAGAUCCAGCUGGCCACAGUGCUGAGUCGUCUUGUCUAGAUCACGUUUUUGCAAAAAAAUGUUGGAUCAGGUGAUCCUUGGUGUCCCCCUUCCAGUCUGGUAUUCUAUGAUUCUUAAACAUCUUGAAAUAACUGACAAGGAUCCAAGACAUGGAUUGUUUCUGUAGCAGAAGGGGUGCCAUUUCUUCGUGAUUUGGAGUUGGUGACAUUGUAGAUUUGUGUUUUCAGGUUUUUUUGCUUUUGACAUUCCAAACCUGAAGCAGAGACUGCAACUGUCUCAAAAGAAAAAGAAGAAAAAGAAGAAAAGAGACAAAUCAAGCUGCUUUGACUGCUUUCUGGGCUGGAGAAACCUCAGAGAGUAGAAAUUCUGCUUGCCUGAUACAUGUAUUUCAUUAAUUUGAGCUCUGUUCUCAAACUCAGCACAUUGUUUAGGAAGUUGCACAGGUGAUUCCUUAGACCGGUGUAGAAUGCUUUUCCAAAUAAAUCCCCCAUUAUGUAUGUUAGAGUAGGAUGUGUUUAGCUAUCAACAAAAUUCCUGCAUAAUAAAAUUAUUAUUGAAAAUUUUAUAUUACUGUUGCUAUACUAGUGUUGCUAGUACAGUUGUUACAACUGUAACAAAAAUGAUGCAAAAAUGAUGCUUCUCUAGAUUACUUACUCAGGAUAACAAAGUUGUUUCAGUUGCUGAUAUAAUUUCCCUGUGCAACUUGAAUUAAAAUAGAAAGUGGCAUCGGAAGUAUAAAAAUACUGCUGACUUCAUUAAAAAGAACUUCUAGUUUGUGCAGAAGCACUAUAUUAGGAACAUAGAAUUCAACAUAAAAAUAAAAGAUUAAUUCAGGCAUCAGCAGCAUUGGAAAUUUCAGAAGCAAAACUUCAGAUGCAAGAGAAUAAAUCUCUCUAUCAUUCCCACUGCUGAAUCUCUAAGAAUUUUAUCCCAUAGCUUAGCAGCUAACUUGUAUGAUGUUACCUAAUUUUGAGGCAUUUUAUAUUGGCUUUUAGUCUUCUGAUAUGUGCUAGCUGUCCUCAGAGGAGAGAUUUUGGCUAAGGAAGUAAUUCCAUUUGUUUUAUAAAACAAAAAAUUAUUUAUGAAAUAUUGCUGUAUGUCAUAAAAUUAAAAAACAAAACAUUAUCUUAGAAAAUAAGAUACUUAAUUUUCUUUCACAUACUUAAUGAAGAAGAAUGACCUUAGUUUUAAAGAAAGUACAAGAGAAUAUAAUUUUCUUUUUGAUAUUUAAUUAGAUUUGGCUGUUACACAGUUUAUUCAAUAAUUGGAUGAUAACAUGAGUUCAGGCUAGUGAUUUCUGAAGCAGGUCUGAAAGUGUUUGAAAACUUUCUUUAGGUCACUUAAAAACCAAUAACUCUGUAUAAGCAGCAGCACAUCUUGGAAUAAUACCUACUUUUGGAUAUAUCUUCAAUGCAUUAUAACAUUUCUGUGCUCACUUUUAAUCAGAUUGUCAUUAGAGAAACUUAGCCACCCUAUAUUGCAAAUAUGGGCUCAGCAUGAAGGUUACAAGUCCCUCCCCUCUUCUCUUGUGUCCUGGUUAUGCCUUGUGCAAUUUCAACUAUUUGAACCCUGUGUGCUUUCUUGCAGCUACUUUCACCUUGAAAUGUUUUAUGUUUGUAAGUGCUUCUUUUAUUCCGCUGACAGAAAAGGAAGGAGUGAAUCCAAACAACCACUUGAUUUUUCCCCAAGCACGAAGUAUAACUCCUAUAUGUGUAAUCUGUGUUUAUUAAGAGCAUUUUAUAGCUAUAACUUUACAUAUUAAAAUACAGAGCUCAGGGUUAGUUAUUUUUAAUUCUUUAGUUAUUUAAGUUAGUUUUUCAGGAACUAUUGAGCUCAAUGAGAGCCGUUGUUGAACGAGCUGAAAACUCUAUGGUACUAUGGUAACCUGCCUAACAGCUAAAAAUUUUUGUCCUCCUCUCACUGAUCAUUUUUUGUUUAAAGCAUUUUACAGAAUAACAGAUAUAAAAUUUCAGGUUAACAAGGAUAAGAAUAUCUCCCUCUACAUAUAAAAAAGUGAGACCUAGAGAAGGUGAGUAUUUUGGCAACUAUUAAGCAGUCUUAGAUGUUUGAAAAUGUAAACAUAGAUUCCUAUUUCCCUGUGCUGUAGUUACUGCAGAUUAUAUCAUCUCCCCUUGGUUUAGAAACCAAUAUUUAUGUGUCAUAAAUAAUUUCAUUUUGGGGGGGAAAAAGGAAUAAUGUUCAGCCAGAGAAACAGAAGAUUCUUGAAAUGAUUACAAAAGAUUUGAAUAUGAAUAGGGAGAGAUCAGUAAGAUGAUGAUAAAAUUUCUGUUCACUGGAAGAACUUUAUAGCUAUAAUUCUUCACCAAAAACCACUAAUAUGAAUACAUUUUUUUAUAUGUACAAAAGUGUAAAAUUAAGGGUCAGUAUCUCAUAUCUGUCAUACAAAGAGGCAUAUAAAAUACCAGAGCAAUUUUCAUAUGGCAAAAAGCAAUAUUCAAGGGGGUUUUUGCUGACCCAUGUAAUUUCAAUGACAAAAUGCACAAAAGGAAUUACUGUGAAAAUACUUAUUUUGCAUGCUUUCUCAACACACACACCAAUGUGUUCAAGUCCAUCUCUGCUUGAGCAAAUGCUCUGAUGAUUAAAGAUAAAAUGAAAACAAAUUAUAAUUCUUUUCUAAUUCAUUGCUUUUGGCACUGAAUUCUCUUAUAACAAAGGAGGUGAUGAGUUUGGGUGAAGACAGUUGUGGCCCUCUGUGCUGAGCAUUUCAGUCAGUAAUGCCAUUAGUUUCACUGAUCUUAGGUGCUGGUGCUGUUGUAGUUGCCAGUGAGGGACUAGAUUGUCUCUCUAGUCUUGGGGGAAAAAGGAAACAAGUCCCUGACACUGAGAGAAAUAUUAUCUGUUUUAAAUAUAUUUCAAAAGGACUCAAUUAUUAACCUAUACUAGGAAACAAUGAGUGCAAAGUAUGUUUUGGUUUUAAUUAUAUAUGCACAGUCCACCGGGACUUUAUUUCCACUAAAGGAAAUAUUGGGAUAGUAUCUAGCUAAUCUUUUCUGCAGCAUAGAUUUAUGUGCAUCAGCUUGCUGUAUCUCACAAUCUAUAGUUUGUGGUUUAGGUUUAAGAUAUAGAAGAAUCAUUCUGUUGGUUCCCUUGCAGAUUGUUCCUUCUGCAGUAAUUACAGAGAGCUCCCUCAUUAUUGCUGCCAGGAAAUUCACCACUGAAGGCACAAGAGGGACAAGAAGGCACAAGAGGGACAAGCUGCACUUCCACAGUUCUGGGUUAUUUUACUGUAGCCUGAGCAGGUUAGCCACUGUUAUUAUAGGCUGCCCAACUUCAGGUCUGUGGUUGUGGCCUGAAGGGAACUCUUGCUUAGGAUAAAAUGCUUUUUUGCAAUUGAGCCUACCCUAAGCUGUGGGAGGUUCAAGCAUUUCAGGGGGAUUUCAGAGAUUUUCAGCUAUAUAGCUGCAGCAAGUUUUUCAUCAAACUGCAUGUUCUUAGAGCUCCAUGAUCAGGGUAAAUAAAUCUUUAUGAGAACAGCUAAAAGGACAUUUCAAAACAAAAUUUUUCUCAUCUGUGUUUCAGUCUUACUCUAAUGCAUGCAUAUCAGAAUUCUUUAUUAAUUUAAAUAAUAUUUAUAAUACUUUGCUUUGUUUUCAGAGCCAACCAAAAUAAUUCAGCUGAAAUUUUCCACACCAAAAUCAGCUUGGGGAAUAUAUACAGCAUGGAGAGCUUUAGCUUAAACUGUUACAGUUUGGCAAAUUUAAAAGAAAUUGCAACAGGUUAUUAUGAUAGGAAUUUUUGGACAACCUAAAUUGCAGAAACUAUAGUUUGUAUGUAGAAAAUAACUUUUAAAUAUGAGAGUUCAUAAAAGUAGAUAAGAGUUCUUGGAACCAUUUAUCAAAACUUGAUGUGUGUUAAAAUGUUUUAAUAUUUUUAAUUAGAGCUUUGGACUUCAAUAGCAUGGGGUUUUUUUCCUUCAACAUUUAUUUCAUCAGAUGUCUAUGUAAUUUAGAUUGCAGUCUCUUCUUAAGACUUGACUGAAAUAUUAAUGUAGAAUUUUUUUUAAUUGAGAUUCUUACAAACAUAUUCCUUUACAUAAAAGUAACGUAUUUUCUUACAGAAUUGUCAGAUUUAGAGUUCAGUUUUACUCUAGCAUGCAUAAGAUGUGUUUUCAGAUGGCUUUUAGAUGGAAAUUAAUUUUUAGCAGGGACCACUGAUACAGGUCUGUUAAAGGCCAGUGGAGUUUUGUUAAGUGUCUGGUCAGCUUGCAUUAACAGAAUAAGUGAACUCUGACAUUCACCAAAUAUUUAAAUGUCUCCUACAGUAACUUCUUGUAUAACUUUAAAAAGAGAAAAUAUCCACAUAUAAGGGAUAUAUUUGUUUCAGCCAUCCUAUUAUUUAAUCAAUAUGUGUUGUACCCACUCUGUGUUCUCAUUUAGACCUGAAAUCUCAUACUGUGGGAAGAGUUGUAAGAGAAAAGCAAGGUGGUUAUUUAAACAAUGGUGUAUUCAAAGAUUGGCAUCAAAGCCAGAAUUGUCAGUUACUGGUGAGAACUACUGACAAGGCUGCUGAUGCAAGUGGAACGGGCUAGAUAUCCAUGUGGCUGCUUCUCUGUGCCUAACACUUGGAGAUGUGGAUAAAAGGAUGUCAGGCUGACAUGCAAAUGUAGAUGUCACUGACUAAGAAAGGAGCAAAGGGCAGGAGAGUAACUUGCCAAAUGACAGCGUGUGUAUGCUUCAUUGGAAGAUGUGUUGAAACUAAAAGCAAGAUGACACUUGUGUGGGUAGUAAUUGUAGGUGUAAAUAAGGUGACUGUAAUCUUCAACUUCAGCAUUAAUUAUUCCUUGAUAAUGAAAUCUGGCAUCAUGAUAUUUUAACUUUUGAAAGGGGAAACAUGAAAAAAUAUCACCAAGAGAAUAAACUAGAGUAAAUGAGAUAUUGGUAAGAGAACUGUGUGUUUAUAAACAGGAUGUAACAAACAGAUUGAAAUUUAAAAUAUUUAUUGCUGUGCGAUGAUGGGGGAAGGGAAUACAACUUGAUUGAAACACUUGUUUUGUUUCCAGAUAAUAUAAUAAGAUCUUUAAUCUUAUUUAUCCUAGUGUAAUGUAAUACAUCAAAAAACCUUCUCCAGUUUUUCCAGGGACACUGAGCUAUAACAGCUCUGGGUUGUCCAGUGUGAUAAAAGAAAGGUAGAAAUAGUUCUGUUCCUGCUGCCAAAAAUCUUACUGAGAUUUAUUGAUGGAAUUUGUGGUGCCAAGAAUGCCAUGCCAAGUGCUCAGCUGGAGGAAAGCAAGUAGCCUCACUUGAGUUGUUUUGUAGAAUGGUUUUCCAGGUUGAUCACAGCAAAUAAAAAUAAAAUAAUUCUGAAAUAUGGGGGCUUUUUUCUUUUUUUGGACUCCCUUAGUAAGUUUGUUCCUCUUUUACAUAUUUAUUUGAUAGAUGCAUAUUUUUAAUUCCUUCUGCAGUUCUUACUAUUUCAUAGGAUAGAUAGUUACACUGUUAAGUAAAGCAAAAUAAGUCUUUGUAUGCUUUACUUGAUGCAUGCAAUCAUUAAAUUUCAAGCACACUUUUAUUCUAGAGCAAGCUCCAUGACUUAGUUGUCUAGUUUUAUGUUAUAAGGAGACCUAUGGUUUAGCAGUGUCUUUUCAAAAAUCAGAUUUGGGUUAGCCUGUCACUUGGGACUGUGUUUUAGUACCACCAAUAUAGUUGCUAUAUAGAUAAUUUAUUUCAGACAGAGAUGCUAAAAUUAUGAAUAGUUAUACUUCUGUUUUGCCAUUGCAUUACAAAGUAUCACUGAAACUAUGAUUCUACCAUGCUUCAGAAAUAUGGAAAUGCUAAUAAGCAAUUAUGAAAGAUUGCUGUUAGCUGUUCACGGUAUAAAUAUUUCUUCAUGAUACUGACAUGUGGGUGCCUGUAAAAGAUGAGUGCAGUGCUCUGCUUUUCAGAGUGAAUGCACAAAGAUGUCCCAGAUAUAUCUGAAGAGCCAGCUCACUCUUUCAGUGUAAGCAAUAGUAAUACCCUUUCAGUCUGUCACACUAUGUGCAUGUAUUGGUGCUGUGAUUUGAGAAAUUACCCUUGCAGUUUUUCCUGUUGGUUUGGCUGAAUGCUUUGUUCGGAGUGAGGCAGGUGCCAGAGGCAUGACCCCACUCCCAUUUUAGUCAGUAAUAAUUUUCUACAGAAACUGAGGCUGGAUAAUGCCUUUUGUGUGAAAAAAUUCAGAAGCUUCUUAUCCUAGAGUUAAGAAAACAGCUCAUAAAGAUGCUGCAUAUCAGAAGUUAUGUAUAAAUACAGGCUUUAAUAAUAUGCAACAGACAUGCAAAUCUGGAUUUUUUUCAAAUCUGCAUGAGAACAUUUUAAUCUGUGAGCUCAGACUUCCUAUGCCUCAAACAUCUCUAUCACAAAAGAAGGUAGUGUGUCCUGAACAGAAUGCAAUGCAAAUACUACUGCACUUCCCAGUGUGUUAAAUGGAAUGUUUAAUAGCAGUUUGGGCAGUCCUGCAGCACUGUGCCAUGUUGACAGUCCUGACACAGGCACAAAUCCAAUAGGGAAAAGGAGGUGGUCAUGUAAUUGAAGACUGUAUCAUAAAGAACAGUCACCAAUGGUGUAAUUAUGGUUGAACAUAAUUAUGCGCCUCCUAACCUUAUGUACCUUAAUUAUAGCACCUCCUCACUUUGCAUAUUUGCCUUCAAACUCAGUCUGGUGUAACUGUGCUGGCCGACAAAAUGCACUAUGGUUGUAUCAGCUGUGACCCUCUUACAGCUAAAGACAGUUACUUGACUAAUGCAAGUAUCAGUGGGUUUUCUCUAUCUAUUUAACUUUUUAAAGCUAGUUAGUGAAGAAAUCUGGCAGUAGACUGUGAAGAAAGUAAAGCUGUUACUGAGGGCUUUGGCUGCUUUGUUUUUCUGGGGAAUGAGAGCUAUUUGGGAGGGCUCUGGGUAGCAGCUGGGGAGCCUAGGAAUUUUGGAAGCAUCUUGGAGCGUCUGGAGCAGACAACAUGAUUUUGGAAAAUCUCCAAACUGUGUGUUGGAGCAAAACUCAGUGCCUAGAAGCCACAGCACCUCCUGACACACAGUCACAUGGCAUGACAGUUCCCUCCACAUAGGUGAUCUUCACCACUCUUGCCUCUACCUACCUCUCUUUCUGGGAAAAAGCCUCAGUCUUCUCUGAAAUGAGCCAUGAUAAAAUGUGUGUCUUUCACAUGCACAGAUGUCUCAAGGGUGCUCUAUUGUAAGGAAGCUGUCCAGCCAGUUAGGUCUAUGUAGUCAUGGGGAAAGCAGAGAAGGGUUCCACCCACAGCAAUGUUUUGCCCUUAGUGGAAGAACUUGGCCUAACUUCACACUCAUUUGAAAGCAUUUAACAGCAGUAGGCAGGGAGAUAGACUAUGACAAAUGCAUCUGGAUGGUAGAAUCUUUUGUCUCAGUGGCAUUUUGUUGAAGAAUAACAGCAACUUUGGAUCUCAGUGUCUUUACAGAAAACUCCUGCCCUGAAUAAGUAGAAGAAAAUUACUUGACAUGUUAAAAGGUCCUGAAAAUCCAGAUGCCUGAGAAACAGCUGUACAACGCACAGCUUAAAGGAACACACUCCCCUCCCCACCCUGUACUCCCCUAUAUUAACAAAGUGAAAGUUCACUGUGCUACCUUACAUCACUGAUGGGGGAAAGGAGGGACAAAGACACUUUAUUUGCUCUGCUGUGUAGUGACCAGACUGUGUGAUAAUGCCUGAGUAACAAGACACUCAAAGGGAACAGACUGGGGGGUAUGAACGCACUAACAAGUAGGACUUGCACAAAAGACAUCCCCAGGGACACAGCUUCAUUUCACAGGUUCUGCUUGGAGCUUGGCUCUGCUGCCUAGCCCUACCCAAAGGCAGCCUGGAAGAACAGUAUGGGAUGAACAGAGCUUUCUUCAGGGUGUUCAUCAGCUCCUUCUGAAAGUGUGUCUUUUUCUGCUAAAUAACCACAGCCAAAACUUUUCAGGCUGUACCCAGCCAAAUGUUAAUGUUUUUAGAAGCAGUGAUAAUUAUGCAAGGAGUCACUUCACUGGUCACUGAAGGUGAGUUCUGUAUUCAACCUGAAUACAAGCAGGCUAUUGUGGAAGAAGUGAAGAAGCCUAAAAUUGUACCAAAUUCCAAAAUUCCCUUCUGACCCUCCAUAGUUAAAAAUGUUUCUGGAAACACUGAGAGACCUUUGAAGGCUUUUGCCAUUUUGUAGAAAUCAUUGCAGAUCACAGUGUACUAACUGAUGCACUCACUGUCUGGAUAAAAGAUUCAUACAUAGGGACUGGGUAGCACUGCUCUGACAAGCUUUAUUUUGUCUAGGUAUUUCAUUCAGGCAGUUGCAGUGUAAUAAGAAACACUGUACUUAGAUUUCUCCACAAGUUUUCUUCCUAUGAUCUCAAAUUUUGUUUCUAUAAUGAUUUCUGUCCCUCCCCCUCUUCUGUAAAUUUCAUUGACCCAUCUCUGGGAGUUUCUCUUCACUUUAGUACCCUUUCUUUUGACACUGAAUUAAUUAAGGAUGAAACUGGAACAGUGACUCAUAGCGAAGAAGCAGAGUUCCUUAUUAGUAAUAAGCAAAGAAGGCCACAGGAACCCACUGCUUCCAGGCUCCAAGAAUGCCUUCCUUUUGUGUGUCGUUCCCACAUUGAUCAUGUUAACUGAUGCCUCUUUAGACACUAAUUGUUAUAUUGAUGAGCCUGAAUUGGAUGAUUUCAGUAUUUGGGAGCUUUUGGGGAUGCAAUCUCCAAAAAGGUGAAAGUGCUAAUUAUAUUGGUAAUUACUUUAAAGCUCUAAUCCUACUUUUGCCAGUGUCCAUUCCCAUGGUAACAGUAGCAGGUACAGCAGCAUUCAGCUGAGCAGCACUCAGAGCUCUUGGCUAUGUCACCAGUGGCUGAGGCUGGAAAGACUAUACAAACUGUGCAUACAGAUGUUCUAAGAUUCCAUAUAUUUCCUUGCCAUAGACCUACCUUAAAAUACCAAAAAAAGCUAUGCCAAAAUUUAGUUUCUCUCUUUAUGAGCUAUAUUGGCUUUUUAAAAUCUUUGCUUUUACCCUUAGGUGAGCUGGCAGGUCUUCCAGAGGCUGGUCUGCAGCCAGAGUCCUCAGGGGAAAUUCUGUCUGACUCAGCAAUUGUCUUUUUUCAUGCAGCCUCCUGGGCUGAGAACAACAGCUUUGCCACUUCCUGACUCUUGGGUCUUGUCUACUAGGCAAAUUUUGAGAACGAAAUUCCCACCAGUGCUUUGAGCGUGUCUGAAAUUGUAAAUGGACUGUAUUUAGAAUGGUUUAUAUCACUGACUUAACAUUCAAUAUUAAACUUACUUAGGCUGCCAUGACCUACAGGAACUUCCUAGAUACUUAAGCUUUUACUGUGUAAUUGUGAUGUUUCUCUGAAUGUUGUAAAUGCAAAUUAUUAAAAUUUUCUUUAUGAAGUAGCACAGAUUCCAGGCUGUGGUAGUUGGCAAUUCACUGUGCUCAGCAAAGCCAAGCAUGACAUUUCUGUGCCCUGGAGUGAAAGUUCUGAACUGAUCUGAGUGGAGUGGUGAGCAAGAGAAAAUCAUAAGGUGUUUAAAUUUUUGCCUCAAUGAGCUUCAGAAUUCAAAAUCAGCUCCAACAAAAGACCUUCAACAGUGCACUUUAACAACUCACUUCAAGAGAGAGUGUUUGGUUUUACAGACAGGUUCCUCCACAAGGUGUUUUAAAUUACAUCAUAAUUCAAUAAGAAACUUAAAGAUUCUGAAGUACAAAUUCCUUUUCAGUGAUCCUGGAAGUAUUAACAGCCAGAUCUUUUUUCUUGGUAUUAGUAUUGGUAAAUUUUAAAAGAAAAUGUCACCUAAUACAUUUCUUUUUAUUUUAGCUAAAUAAAGUUUAUUUAAUUCUGCAAUUCAUACUAAAUUUCACUUUUGAGCAAAUCUGCUGUUUACAGAGAGAUUAUACCUAUUCUGUUUACUUAAAUAAGAACAAUAGGGACAUAAGAGAUACUAAUAUAUGGUGCCUUAAUAUCUAAGGAGGAACUGGCUGAUCAUACAUUUUGAAGAUCAGGGCACUUAAUUUAUUUUUGUCCAAAUAUAGUACCUUAAAUAUUUGCAUUUGUUUUAGUUACUUCCUUUUAUCCUUGACAUAGCUUUUAUGACACAGGAUCAGUUUUCUAAUUUUACAUACCUGAAGUAAAUGAGAGUUAAUAUUUGGGCAUGUUUUAUCUUCCCUGAUUUCAAGCAAGGAAAGACUAAUUUAAGUUCAUAGACAUAUAUACUUGUAAGUUAUACUGUUCUGUACUUGGCAAGGGCCUUAAUGUGCUAGCAAAAGAAAAAAUUCAAAGUAAUGGGUCUCCCUGAAGAAGGGAAAGGGAAGAGAAAAAGAAAAGGAAAGGAAAAGCUGCUUUUUAGAAAAAAAGGUUUUUCAAGGCUAGCAAACUUGAGAGUGGGGGGAGGAAAAAGAAUUGUUGACAAUGACAUUCAUAGUGCUGCUGUUAUUUUACUGAAAAGUGUCAUGGUUAGUAAAUCACAAUGAGUCCCUGUAUUGGGGUGGUAGACAUGGUGAGGCUGCGUUCACAGUUGGACUGUAUGAACCUUAGUGUUUCUAUGUUUUCCUUCAAUCCUUCUACUUACACAAACAAACCAUGUUAUUGAGUAUCAGAGUCUGAUAGAGUGUUUACACAAAGGCAACAGUGUGAGACAUCUUGUGCCAUCCUCUUGUCCUCAUUUGGCUUAUGAUUAUUUUAGAUGUCCUCAUACCUGGGGUUAAAGGCCCAUCAAGUUUCUCUUGUGUUUUCUGUGUGGUUGCACAUUAGCUACAAAUUGCCUUGUCAUUUGCAAUGUGUCUGUCUGACAAAUAUUCCAGCUCCAUAGGAGUUGGAAUAAAGCAGAAGAGGUAUCUCAUUCACUUCUCUCUAUCAUCGUGCUUUAAAGGCAAUUUCUAGGAAGAGAAACCUGGGAAAACAGAUUCUUUAUAAUCUCCUCUGCCUCUGAACAGACAGCUGUGGAGCCUGAUGUCCCAUGUCCCAAAAAACUCAAGAGUCCUCUGCAGCUGUAAAACAAGCAGGCUAAAUGAGAUCAUAUGACGUUGUUUUGCAUCCUAGCAGAGAGAUGGCUAUCAUCCUGAUUUUCCUUGAAGAGAAAUUUAGUAGGUGAACUGGGGAUAGCAUACCCAUAAAUGUGUACAAAUGAAAUAGCCGAAUAAAGCAUGUUUACUCUAAUUGGUUUACACAGAAGUAACCAAUCUGAUACUGCAAAACUGAAAGAAAAGCUGUUCUGAAUGUCCCAUAGCAUACUCUGCUCAUUUUCAAUUGUGUUCUGCAGAGCAGGGUACCAACUGGCAUCAGAGGAUGGAGAAUCUAACACAGCAAGUCCACAGAUGGCUGGUCAGAGAAAAGGACAGUUCAUCUGGUUUUUUGGAUACUUAAAAUUUACAUGCAGAAUAUCUAAUAACGACUACUUCAUUCUGAGUGCUAUUUGUCUUUGACAGUAAAACUCGUAUGAAGCAUAACUAGAAGAGACAGAAGGGGAAAAGGAGGGAGAACAUAGAGGAUUGUGUGAACAGCAAAUACGGAUGUGCUUUACUGGAGAGAAAAACCUGGAGAGGGUGGGAGAAGACUAAAUUGGCAAAAUGUUUCUCAAAGGCCUGAGGCUGACUUACAGGGAAGAAAACAACCGAACAUAAAGCAUAUUGUGCCCUUCACCACCCCUGAGCAAUGAAGCACAGCAUCGGAAGCUUUUGUGAGGCAGGUGGCAUGCCAAAGUCCACGCAGCAGCUGUGCCGACCCUGGGCGUUUUGAAUGCCUAAAGAAAACAUGCAUGCUGUUCUUCAGGUCUAAGCAGUUUGUGGUUUGCCUGGGGCCUUCAGCAGCAAGGAGAGGAGAGGAGCAGCAUGGCAGCUCUGCUGCUGGCCAGCAGUGUGGAGGACUCGCUGCUCAGAUGUCUGAAGCAGAAGGUUCAGCUGUUUUGGUCCCUGUGCUGCCAGUCAUGCUCCGCUGGUCACUGCCACCAGAGCCCUGCAGACCGAGCACCGCUGCAGCCCUGUGCUGGGUGACCCAGCGGCGUCUGCCAGCCACAUUUCCUGCGGCAGCUUAGCAGAUAUUGACACACCAACAACAGUUCAGUGACCGUGACGGGUUCCUCCCACACUGCAGCACCUAUGAUUUGUAUUAAAAUGGCAUACCAAGUGCUGCAAAUUCUAAAUAAGGGAGGUUCCCUCUCCUAGGCGGUGUACCAUCCAAGGCUAGAGGGAUUGCUGCACUCCUGCUACCCGUGGUCCAUGGCAGACCGGGAUAGAAUUCAGAGCUUCUAAAUCCUAGAUUAGCGAAUUAACAAGAUUAUCCUUUCACUCUGAAAACAAGAUUGAGAGAGAGAUUUUGGUAACACCCAAAACUAUUUACAAUAAAUUUCCUGGAACUGUACAACAUUUUGAUUUUAUGCUUAAGGAAAAAACCAACCUACCCACAACUCUGUUAGUAGAGUGUAAAAGUCCCACCUUGAUCACACAUAUACAGUUACAAAGCUGUUUGAAAGUUAUGUGUCUUUGAUUUUUAAUAGGUUCUGUGACCUAUUAUGAAUGCCUUCAUAAUGAAAAUAACUUGUUCCAUGAAAGAGCAGAUGUCCUAGUACUUAAAUACUUGCUGCUGCCAUGCCAAAGUCUUCUGCUUAAUGGCAUUAGAAGCAGCAGUUUGUCGUGAUCAAUAGUUCUGCUAACACUCUAGAUGCCACAGAGAGCCAGAAGAGGUGGAUCUCCCAUGAGAAAGAGUUUUUAUGGGCCAGGUUUUGUACAAAGUGCUGGGUGUAUACAGUUCUGCAGAGCAACUUCCGGUAUUGGGUACUUAGGCUUCCCUCCACCUUUCUACUACAAAUUCUUUUAUGACAUUUAUGAUAUGUUUAUUUGAAGAAUUGUGUUACGCCCAAGCAAUAUAGCUGUAGCCUGACCAAAGCAAUGAAUUGUCUAAGGGAAAGAAAAAGUCACAGGCAAAUCUUAAAUUUAAAGUGUACCUUUGGCACAGAAAUCUCUAAAUCCAAAGGUGCCUUCAGCUGAUCUCUCACACUUUCCCUAGCUUCUCUUGCAGCAGAAGUGGACAGAGGUCUCUCCAUUCUCUCUUCCAUUCUCUUCACAUAUUUUCCAAUAGACCAAUUCCCCUCUUUACAAUAUUGCUACCUGCAGCCUCUCUGUGUUUUGAGGUCUGCUGAGGAUGAAGAAACAGAGUGCCCCUCUGUGACCAUUUUCUUGCAGGUGUAAGAACAUUGAAGCAGAUAAAUCCUGUGCAUGUCUGUGAGUGGUAUGAGGAUGCCCACAGGCCAGGCUGAAUGGGGCCUUGAGCAACCUGAUCCAGUGGGUGGCAUCUCUACCCACAGCAGGGGAGUUGGAGGUAGAUAAUCUUUAAGAUCCUUCCCUACACAAGCCAUUUGAUCAUACUAUAUUAGGGCCUGGCCUCCAUGGGCCUCCUUCCCACACACUUUGGUCAAACCAUGGCAGCACUUCAGUGCAAUGACAGAGGUGUCAGGACAUCCAGACUGCUCCUCUCCUCAUGGCAGAACGUGGUGGAUAGUCACUGUUAGCAUCACACAGCAUCGUGCCCUCCUGGUUGCCUGCUGUGCGUGUGGGGGAUGUAUAUACCCAUCAAGAGACUACUUAUGUACCCUGUAUGGAGACAAAAGCUAUGUCCAGCCAUGUCACAUGGGUGGAUGUGCACUCAACAUUCGAUGGGAGUUGCGAAGUUUCACCAUGUCAGCUUUAUACUUAGUACAUACCACGGAAGGAGCUUUAUCCAUGUCUCCCUUCACUGUUCCCCUUAAAAGGCUCCCUUGUCCUGAGCUGGUGUCAGAGUGCUUUAUUUCAACUCCAAACACCAAUUUUUGAGUACAAUGAGGGCUGUGCCCAGGAGCUGGUGGGACUGCCUAGCAUGGCCUUGAGGAAAGAGAGGAGAAAAGAUGUGUUUGCUUGUAUGUUAGGAAUAUGAGCGGUGGACAAACUGCCAUUAACAUGCUUGCAGAACUGGAUCUGUUCUCCCAUCUGUAUUUAUCAUGAGAAAGACUAUCUGUACUAUCCAGUAUAACAACAACAACAACAACAACAAAACCAGCAAAAAUAACAAUAAUACUUCUUAGCCCAACUCCAUGAGACUUUAUUGCUUUGUCAUUUAGUUUAUUAGUAUUAUCUGCAUUUCCAGCAAAACUAAGGCAGGCCAUGAUAAUGGGGGAAAGAAGAGCUGUACCAAUGGCAAAAGGCCAACUCCCGUAUUACCAUAUUCCCAAGGCAAGGAAUUUCCACUUUUCCACUGAAAUCCAUUUUUAGUUGUUUAAAUAUGCAUUUUUAUUGCAUUAUUCCAUUAUUUUUUUCUGAGGUUUAUGAUUUGUACAAAAUCCACCAUAAAUCAGAAAUAUGCAGUAUCUAGACUGUGUUAGGAAUGUCCAUGCUCCAGGAACGGAUUUUAUAGAUUUAGAAAUCAGCAGUUUAGAAAUUGCAUGGUCUGGCUGCAGAAGAGCAGGUGCGGGACAUCAGCCUUCCCCUCGAGCUGUUUCACGUCUCUGCCACUGCCUGUUGGCCAACAAGGAGAGUAAAUGUCACUUGGGUGCUGUGCUGCAGCCCACGCCUUCGUCAGGGCCAAGGUGCAAGCCUUACAGCCUGGCUCAGGAGCAGGCAGCAUAUUCCUGUUGCUUUCCCUACCCUGCAAGGCGGGAGGCCUGACUGCGGCGGCACUGGUCAGCCCUGCUGGGACCCUGCUCCCACUGCUGCACCACGGGAGCCCUGUUUGCACAGGGUACGCACAGCUGGCUUCCUCCAGAUCCGGGGUCAAGAGGCUCCUCUUGCCAUCACAGUGCUCUGGGUCUGAGGUGUGUCUGCACUUGAGGAUUGGAAAAGCUUCUCUUUUUUUCCCUACAGGGUGUUUUUGUUUUGAAAACUAAAUCUGCAGAGAAAAGAGAACACAGAUUCUGCUACCGGAGCCAAGUCUUCAUGCCAAAUUUUAUGAUAUAGCAUAUACACCUUCAAAGUCUCACUUUAUUUUGCUCAUUAAAGAAUUAUUUGCACGGGGAGGCUUUGAUUCUGCAUGAGUGGAUAAACUGUUGUUAUGAAAUUUCUUUCUUUCUUUAACAAACUACUGUUCUAUAUGGAGUUGACACUGAAUCUUUAAUUACCCUACAUACUCUUGUGACAAUUCUGUAUUGUGUUUUGGCCUAAACAUGCCUUAAUGUCACUUUUUUCUUUUACUAUCAUUUCACUUGUUAAAUUCUUUUGCCUGGAAAAUGCCACAUGAACACUGGGGAGAAACACCUCAGUUAUUUAAAAAAAUAAAAGUAAUUUGAAGUGGAAGAUUUUUAGAGCUGAACACUUAUGCCAGGACCAAAUUUCAUCAAGAAUUCAAUAAGAUACUAUUUUUAACUAUCAAAUUGAAAUUAGUUAAUAUACAUUUUUGAAACUACUAGCACAUGGAUAUACCAGCAGUUUUUCCAAUAGAGAUUGUUUAGCAAUUGAAGUUAACAAGCAACAGGGUAGGAUUAUUACAAAUAAGGAGAACCCUAAAAACAUAUAUUUACCAUCUUAAUUUUGCAAGACUUGCAUCCUCCUGUGUAUUUUAGAACAAAACUUCAGUGGAGCUCAGGGUUCCAUGAACUCAACAAAGAAUCUUACAGCCGCUUCAUACCAUUUUAAUUGAAUAUUUGAACUGCUCUGUUUAUUUGAUUUGCUGUUUGCUUAUUGAAUGCUAAUUUUUUGUGCAUUCCUUCCAUAAGGUCUUUUUCUCCUCUGAAGUUACAAAAUACUUUAGUGACAUGUGUAAUAUGGUUACAGUAGGUGAUCCUGAGUGUUCAUCAUUGUCCUUUUCUGGAUCUCUGUGGCCUCUGCAAUUUCUUUCUGCAUGGCUCAGUGUAGUAUCAUUGGUGGAGGCAGUGGUGGAAACAAUUUAAUCCCAUUUAGCAGUUGAUCAAGGAGAAGAAUGGUUUAGAAAGAAAAACAAUUAUCAGUGUUGAAAGACGGAGCAAUGAAAGUAAUGGUGAUCUGUCUACCUUAGCGUCGCAGUCCUUCUUGAACUGAAGCUGGGAGAAGUAAUAAACCAUUGAUACAUAUUUUUCCAGCAAAUAAAUAUUAGAAAUUAUUUCUAAUGAAAUAAUGAUCUUUCACUUUUUUAAUGAAGCUGAAGGACCAGAACCUCUAUUGUAUCUCUUUUAAAUCGGCAAUAAUGCCACUGCAUAAGAGUGCUAUUUCUUAAGGCAUUUUCUAAAAGUGGUGCAUGAAUGAAUACUGUACAGGCAUCAGAUUUGGAACAGAAUUGAGGCUGUUUAUUGUAAUCAUAAAACCUGCUUUCCUGUGUUCUAAAGUUGUUUUUUUUUAAUCAGCCAAGAUAUCAGAUUACUUAUAAUUACAAAAAAAACCCCAACCAAACAAAAACCCUAAGUCCCAACUAAACAAAAAACUCCUUACUUGUUCUGCUUGCUUUCUUCAGCUGACCAAAAAAUGAAUUUUUGUUCCUAUAUUACCCAAGCUGGAUUAGCAUAGAUGGUGUAGAACUGUAUUUUAGCCAAUGUGAAAGAAUUAUCUUUUAAUUUCUUAAGUAAAAUAUUGCUUAAAUGGUAGA